UGUAUCAUAUCAGUAUUUAAAAUAGCAAUGUAUAUUAUCUAGUGUUUCCAUGAAAACUACUUUAAGCCAUUACAAUAUCGAAAAAUAACGCUUCCUAAAAAUUGACAAUAAAUUCGGUCAUGAUACAUUUUAUUUUGAAAACGCUCAACUAAACCGAUGUUUUUUUUUUCAGAGAUCCCCUAUAAAAUAGUAAAAUCACAGAGAGGUGUAAAACGAAACAAACCCCCAGUACCACGAAACCGAGAAUACUCCCUGGUUCUUUCUGAAAGAGGCAGAGAUAUUCUACUACGUUCAGACUUCAAGUAUCACAAACAUAGAAUGAAAAAGGAUGGAACAGUGGUAUGGCGAUGCUCGCAAAGACACACGUGUACGGCCCUUUUAAUGACGAAUUCAAAUAUAAUUGUAGAGGAAUAUCGUCACACAUGCAUCCACAGGAUAAAUGAAAAAUAACAUUUAGUUAGUAAAAAUAUAAAUUAGUAUGUAUUUAAAUUACUAAAAAAAAACUGAUACUAACUUAACUUACUUUGCCCCUCACUAACUCUCUCGAUUCGUAAUUCUAAUUCGGCUAAAAUACCUCUAGAGUCGUGUGCUACGUCAUAUGAUUUGAAUAUCAGAUAAUUAGAUAAUAGUAAAUAAUUUAAAACGUUAUUGUAUUUUUUUUUAAAUAGGUAUGGGUACCUAUGGGUUGUCAUUCAAUAAAUCUACAAAAUAAUUUUGUUUAACUUAUUAUUUACCGAAUCAUUAUAAGCCAACGUUAUUUUUGCAAACGCAUUUUGGCGAAGUAGGUUUCUAACCUAAACAUUACCAAAUUUUCGUUUGUUGAUGUAGCUUGGAUCUAAGUACACCGACAACUUAAAUGUGGGUUUUCUUGAAACAGCAGUUUACUCUGAAUUUUCACGUUGAAGUUUAAAAGCAAGUAAAGUACCUGAGUUGUUUUUAGGAAAAACCAUUAUGUUUUGAUAAGCUCUUUACUGUCCUCUAACUUAUGUUAAAAAACUGCACAGACAAUAAAAAAUAAAACAUUUGCAAAUAUGGACAGAAUAACAAAAAAUGUUUUACGGGUUUACGUUUUAUCAACAAUGCAGCGUGAAUAUAAAGAUAAAAAAAAUAUAUAAGUAAUCAAGAUUCCACGACGAACUAGAUUUGCAAGAAUCAUUUUGAAUAGAUAUUUACAUUGUUUUUAAAUAAAGACAUUAACAAAUAA
rnacentral:lncRNA from 1 species